GAAGCCGUACCGUGAGGAGCGGUGGAUUGUAUAGAAGUGAGAAUGCCGGUGUGAGUAGCGAGAUGUAGGUGAGAAUCCUACACACCGAAAGCCCAAGGAUUCCAGGGGAAGGUUCGUCCGCCCUGGGUAAGUCGGGACCUAACGCGAGGCCGAAAGGCGUAGUGGAUGGAAAGCAGGCGAAAGAUUCCUGCACCCGUAUAUGGAGCGAAGGAGUGACGGAGACGGAUAGUGUGACCCUCUUAAUGGAUUGAGGGCGAAGCGAAGCGGCUGGUUACCAGGCAAAUCCGGUAACUGAAAGGCUAGAGCGUGACAGGUAAGCGAAAUCUUUGGAAAGUAGCGAAGCACAUGAUGACGGCUUCCAGGAAAAGCUUCUGGCAAUGCAUAUGCGGCCCGUACCAAAACCGACACAGGUGGGCAGGGAGAGAAUCCCGAGGUGAGCGAGAGAACUGUUGCCAAGGAACUCGGCAAAAUGACUCCGUAAGUUAGCGAGAAGGAGUGCUUAAGCAAUUAAGCCGCAGUGAAGAGGCCCAAGCGACUGUUUAACUAAAACACAGCUCUCUGCGAAGUCGCAAGACGAAGUAUAGGGGGUGACACCUGCCCGGUGCUGGAAGGUUAAGAGGAUCUGUUAAGAGCGAUCUGAAGCAGUGAUCCGAAGCCCCAGUGAACGGCGGCCGUAACUAUAACGGUCCUAAGGUAGCGAAAUUCCUUGUCAGGUAAGUUCUGACCCGCACGAAAGGUGUAACGAUUUGGGCGCUGUCUCGGCAGCAGACUCGGUGAAAUCUUAGUACCUGUGAAAAUGCAGGUUACCCGCAACUAGACGGAAAGACCCCAUGGAGCUUUACUGCAGCCUGAUAUUGAAUUCUGGUCAUACAUGUACAGGAUAGGUGGGAGACAAAGAGACGUGCACGCCAGUGUACGAGGAGUCGCCGUUGGGAUACCACUCUUGUGUGACCGGGGUUCUAACCUGGUAUCGAGAACAGGUACGGGGAGAGUGUCAGGUGGGCAGUUUGACUGGGGCGGUCGCCUCCCAAAGAGUAACGGAGGCGCCCAAAGGUACGCUCAGAUUGGAUGGAAACCAAUCGUCGAGUGCAAUUGCAGAAGCGUGCUUGACUGUGAGACAGACAAGUCGAACAGGGACGAAAGUCGGGAAUAGUGAUCCGGCGGUGCCGAAUGGAAGGGCCGUCGCUCAACGGAUAAAAGCUACCCUGGGGAUAACAGGCUGAUCUCGCCCAAGAGUUCACAUCGACGGCGAGGUUUGGCACCUCGAUGUCGGCUCAUCGCAUCCUGGAGCUGGAUUCGGUUCCAAGGGUUGGGCUGUCCGCCCAUUAAAGCGGUACGCGAGCUGGGUUCAGAACGUCGUGAGACAGUUCGGUCCCUAUCUGUUGUGGGCGAAGGAGAUCUGCGGAGAGCUGUCCUCAGUACGAGAGGACCGGGAUGGACCUACCGCUGGUGCACCGGUUGUUCCGCCAGGGGCAUAGCCGGGUAGCUAAGUAGGGAAAGGAUAAGCGCUGAAAGCAUCUAAGCACGAAGCCUACUCCAAGAUGAGAUCUCCCAUUCGCAAGAAGUAAGACCCCUUAAAGACGAUAAGGUAGAUAGGCCAGGGAUGGAAGUGCAGUGAUGUACGGAGUUGACUGGUACUAAUCGGUCGAGGACUUAAUCAG
rnacentral:rRNA from 1 species